rnacentral:lncRNA from 1 species
CAGCAGUUUUCUAGCACUCCACCUGUGAUGACGCUGGGAACUACCUUCAUGCUUCAGUUUUAAGGCAUGACUGACGAGGCACAUUGCAUCUUCUGUCCUGCCAGACAACCCUUGGAGUCUCAGUAGGUGGAGAGCAGCCAGAUGUAAUUUUGC